AAUUGGAGGGCAAGUCUGGUGCCAGCAGCCGCGGUAAUUCCAGCUCCAAUAGCGUAUAUUAAAGUUGUUGCAGUUAAAAAGCUCGUAGUUGAAUUUCGGGAUCAAUAUUUCGGUCAUGCCGUUGGUAUGCACUGUUAUCAUUGAUUUCUCACCUUCUAAAGAGCCGUAAUGCCAUUAAUUUGGUGUUACGGGGAAUUAGGACUGUUACCUUGAAAAAAUUAGAGUGUUUAAAGCAGGCUCACGCUUGAAUACAUUAGCAUGGAAUAAUGAAAUAGGACAUCCGAUUCUAUUUUGUUGGUUUCUAGGAUCGAUGUAAUGAUUAAUAGGGAUAGUUGGGGGCAUUAGUAUUCAAUUGUCAGAGGUGAAAUUCUUGGAUUUAUUGAAGACUAACUACUGCGAAAGCAUUUGCCAAGGAUGUUUUCAUUAAUCAAGAACGAAAGUUAGGGGAUCGAAGACGAUCAGAUACCGUCGUAGUCUUAACCAUAAACUAUGCCGACUAGGGAUCGGAUGAUGUUAAUUUUUUAAUGACUCAUUCGGCGCCUUACGGGAAACCAAAGUGU
rnacentral:rRNA from 1 species